GUCAACAACCCGCCGUUAAGUUCUAGGACUCUAACGGGGGCUUUAAAAAGCCCAAGUUGACCAGCCUAAGUGUCUAGCGCACUACGUUAGAGGUAAGUGUUAAAGUUCCUACCGGGGGAUGCGUAGCUAGUCCCCCGCUCUAGAACCAAGCAGUUAAACAGUCGCGUCGGGUCAGUGGUAGUGCUGAUUGGAAAGUACCGACCUCUAACAUUGGCGAAGCUCACUUUAC
rfam:Limnoraphis robusta CS-951 contig211, whole genome shotgun sequence.